rnacentral:lncRNA from 13 species
CUUAGUUUUAAGAUCUUGGUUUCUGUUCUUUGGGGUGGCAAGUACACUUCUUGCAAAAACAAAUUGUCUCAGUGUCUUUGAUUUGCCUUCUCUCCCAUAAGCUGUUGCUUUUGGAAGCAGGGCCUGGAUCUCCCUUCUGUUCGCUUGGGGGAAACCGUAUAGUAUCAUGGGGUUAUGAAGACAUGUUGCCUGUGCCCGAUAACAACGCAGGCUCCAGUUCUAAACAUAAAGGUCCCCUGAAGACCUUGCCAAAGUGUGAGAUCGCCCUGGAGAAACUCAACAAUAACAUGGCAGUGGUGAGUGGGAUGCUGGGCACCCCUGGGGAACUAGGGCUCCCCGAAGAGUUCCUGGGAGCACUGCUGGGAGGGGCCUGCAAGGUCAAGGUGACUUGGUGGGAGCUGGGCCUGACUUGGGACCCUGCCCACCAGGCUUCUUCUAGGCCAGGUCUGUGGUCCUGGGUGGGAACGUGGGAGAAGUUACCCUCUGUCUGCAGCUCCCGUAGAUACCUCUGCCACCAAGCCCAGAGUGGGGUGGGGAAUUACACCCAGAAUCUGCCAACAUUAUCUGCACAAGGGUGGAGGCUGUGAGUGAGGAUGGGCCUGGGAUGGGAAGGCCCCCUCAGUGGGGAACCCUCAGAUCCCGGGCUACUGACCUUGCCCAUCCUGCCUCCAGCCCACUCUCCUACUGCCCCCAGUGCCACCGGCCAAACAGCAGUACCUCUGCCAGUCGCUCCUGGAUGCCGUCCUGGCCGACAUCUGCUCACCCAUCUCCAACUGUUUCCUGUACCACACAUUCAUUGCAGCCAUGACCGCUGUCCACAGCCCGCCCAUCACAUACAUCCAGCUGGGCUGGGCUUAGAGGAGGGCGGCCAGCCCUGGGUCAUGGGUGCCCAGUGUGGUCACCAUGCUUCCUCCCCAGGGUCCCGGUGCAUGCACCUGGAAAGGCAGGCUUGAGGACAACAAGUGGCAGAGCAUUCCCAGCACGCUCCUGGCAAGGUGGCCAGGCUGGGACCCAAGUUCCUGGUAAACCUGAAUCCUCUCACUGCAGCAACAAUGGCACUGUCCACCUGAUCUGCAAGCUGGGCAAGUGUCCAAGAGGGCCACAGCAAGCCCCAGCCGCAGCCACAGGGCUCUGCCAUCCAAGCUGGAGGGCACAGUGCCCAGAACCCACCCCAUGUUCACGCCUCAGCAGGCUGUCUGCUCUGUCCUUAGAUACGCUGGGUUCAGCCAUGCUAUUGCCCCCACCUCCAGAGCCCACGCCCCCUCACCUGCCCAACACAGAUGCAGCUCUGCUUGCCUAGGGCCCUAGGGAGGUGGGCAGUAGGCCAUCCGGGCACCCAUCGAUGCAAGGCACUCUAGGCUUCAGGUUUGGAAUCCAAGGGUCAGAUUCCCAGGCUUUGCCACAAACCUCACCAGAACCUUCCGGGGUGUGAAGAGUCGUGUUCUGGAGCAGGGCUGUGAGGCAGGGCAGGCCAGGGCUUGUCCAGGUUACAGGUACAGGCUUCUGUGUUGUGGACGACAAGGACCUCCUGAGUUUGCCACCGCUGGAGUGUAGUGUGCCUGCCGACUACCCUGCCUGGAGCCCACU